CCCUUAGAUGUUCUGGGCCGCACGCGCGCUACACUGAUGCAUUCAACGAGCCUAUCCUUGACCGACAGGUCCGGGUAAUCUUUGAAUCUGCAUCGUGACGGGGAUAGAUUAUUGCAAUUAUUAAUCUUCAACGAGGAAUGCCUAGUAAGCGCCAGUCAGCAGCUUGCGCUGAUUACGUCCCUGCCCUUUGUACACACCGCCCGUCGCUCCUACCGAUGGGUGAUCCGGUGAAUGAUUCGGACUUCAGCGGCUCCCCUGGGGUGCGCCGGAGAAAGUUUUGUGAACCUUAUCACUUGGAGGAAGGAGAAGUCGUAACA
rnacentral:rRNA from 1 species